GAGCGAAGGUCCCAGCGGAGAGGCGGGAGCUCUGUGAAGUGAGGCCUCUCUAACGAUUGAACGAACAUUCCCUUCGCAAAAUUGAUCGCCGAAUCGUAGGAUGCCUGAAACUCUCGCCAUUUUCGGAGCAUCUUGAACCCUCGGCCACAUUCAC